rnacentral:hammerhead_ribozyme from 1 species
AUCUAGCUGACGAAUCCCAAACAGGACGAAACGCGCGUCCUGGAU